rnacentral:rRNA from 1 species
GACGAACGCUGGCGGCGUGCUUAACACAUGCAAGUCGAACGGAAAGGCCCUGCUUUUGUGGGGUGCUCGAGUGGCGAACGGGUGAGUAACACGUGAGUAACCUGCCCUUGACUUUGGGAUAACUUCAUGAAACUGGGGCUAAUACCGGAUAGGAGCUCCUGCUGCAUGGUGGGGGUUGGAAAGUUUCGGCGGUUGGGGAUGGACUCGCGGCUUAUCAGCUUGUUGGUGGGGUAGUGGCUUACCAAGGCUUUGACGGGUAGCCGGCCUGAGAGGGUGACCGGCCACAUUGGGACUGAGAUACGACCCAGACUCCUACGGGAGGCAGGAGUGGGGAAUAUUGCACAAUGGGCGGAAGCCUGAUGCAGCCACGCCGCGUGCGGGAUGACGGCCUUCGGGUAGUAAACCGCUUUCGCCUGUGACGAAGCGUGAGUGACGGUAAUGGGUAAAGAAGCACCGGCUAACUACGUG